rnacentral:tRNA from 1 species
GCGGCUAUCGUUUAGUGGCAGGACGCGACCUUCCCAAGGUUGAGAUGGGAGUUCGAUUCUCCCUAGCCGCA